rnacentral:rRNA from 1 species
GAUGAACGCUGGCGGCGUGCCUAAUACAUGCAAGUCGAGCGAACGGACGAGAAGCUUGCUUCUCUGAUGUUAGCGGCGGACGGGUGAGUAACACGUGGAUAACCUACCUAUAAGACUGGGAUAACUUCGGGAAACCGGAUCUAAUACCGGAUGAUAUUUUGAACCGCAUGGUUCAAAAGUGAAAGACGGUCUUGCUGUCACUUAUAGAUGGAUCCGCGCUGCAUUAGCUAGUUGGUAAGGUAACGGCUUACCAAGGCAACGAUGCAUAGCCGACCUGAGAGGGUAAUCGGCCACACUGGAACUGAGACGCGGUCCAGGCUCCUACGGGAGGCAGCAGUAGGGAAUCUUCCGCAAUGGGCGGAAGCCUGACGGAGCAACGCCGCGUGAGUGAUGAAGGUCUUCGGAUCGUAAAACUCUGUUAUUAGGGAAGAACAUAUGUGUAAGUAACUGUGCACAUCUUGACGGUACCUAAUCAGAAAGCCACGGCUAACUACGUG